UUUUUAGUUGUGUUUCAAGAUGAAGAUAAAUAUUUUCUUUUUUUCUCUUAUGAUUGUGCAUAGUUUAUAUUGGGUAAGUUACUUCGUUGUGGAUAACAAUGGAAAAUCUUAUUCUGUAGAAAUCUUUGUUUGAAAUAAUUUCCUAUGCUAUUUUAAUCCAUUGCCAAGGACAAUACACGUUGAACAGCCAAUACGUGUUAGACAUGAGGUUGUAUCAGUACCAACUCCAUAGCCUUGGAAUUUGGAAAUCUGAACAGAAGAUAAGGGAGCUCGAGAUCAAGCAUUGUUACAAAAUCGUCUUUAUAAAGAACUUUAUGGGAGGGGGGGGAUUAAACCGUAUUUGAUUUUCAUGGAGCCCAUGGUUAGCCCCUCCGCAAGAGACUCUAAUCCAUGAUCUGCCAUCUAUUUUUUUCUUCUUUUUUUUAAUGAUUUUUUCAACAGCCCUGUUAGUUUUGGGACAUAGAGUAUGGCCGUUUUAGUAAAGCUGUGUCUCCUAGUAAUUUCAUUCUAAACUAUCUGGUCCAAACAGGGGUUUAUCAAUCUCCCUUGUCAACAACGUGCAUUAUUACAAAAAAUAUUCAUUUUAUCUAGAAUUAUUUGUAAGCAAAUUUUAUUUUAAAAAAAAUUUCUGCGAAAUGGUUCUCGCUGGAGAAAUAAAUUAUGGAAAUUUUCCGGCAUCACUCCUGUGUUAAUUAAACCAAAUCUUAAUUUUAUGUAUUCAUCUUUGCUUGAAAUUUUAAAAGUAAGCAGUUAAAAAGGCAUCAGUGCACAACUUUUUUUUAGUUUCUAUAAAUUAUCCAAAAUUGAAAUAAGGACUCGAGUUUUUAUUCUGGGGUUCAAUAUAAAUGUAGUUAUUAUUUUAAUGUAAACACUUUUGAAGAGCAAUAAAAAAAUUUUUUAUAAUGCAA